AUCAAGCCCCGACGGCCCUUGAAGAAAGCGUUCUUCGUUCUUCCAAGAUCAAGCCCCAACGGCCCUUUGGAUCAACAAUCAUCCACCAAUUCAAGAUCAAGCCCCGACGGCCCUUGAAGAAAGCACCAUCGUUCAUCAUCCGUUCAUCCAAGAUCAAGCCCCAACGGCCCUUUGGAUCAACAACGUCGACAAAUCCACACAUCCAACCGUUCUUCAAGAUCAAGCCCAAAAGCCCUUGAAGAUCCGUUCAUCACUGUUCUUCAAGAUCAAGCCCAAAAGCCCUUGGAGAUCCGUUCAUCACUGUUCUUCAAAGAUCAAGCCCAAAAGCCC
rnacentral:lncRNA from 1 species